rnacentral:rRNA from 1 species
GGGGGGGGGGGGGGGGGGGGUGGGGGGGUGCGGGUCGGGCGGGGGGGGGCCUUGCUGGGUGGGGGGUGGGGAGGGGGGGCGACCGGGUGAGUGACGCGUGCGUCACCUGCCCCCUUCUUCUGGAUAGCCGCAUGACAGUGUGGCUAAUCCGUGAUCUUCUGGGUCUGUCGCAUGAUGGGUCUGGGACAGCUAUUGUUUCGGUUGGGGAUGGGCUCGCGGCCUGUCAGCUUGUUGGGGGGUUGAUUGACUACCCCGGCGGUGACGGGUAGCCGUCCUGAGAGGUUGGACGGUCACAGUGGGACUGAGACACGGCCCAGACUCCUACGGGAGGCAGCAGGGGGGAAUAUUGCACAAGGGGCGCAAGCCUGAUGCAGCGACGCCGCGGGAGGGAUGGAGGCCGGCGGGUUGUGAACCUCUUUCGCCAGUGAAGCAGGGCUGCCUCGUUUGUGGGUGGGUUGACGGUAGCUGGAUAAGAAGCGCCGGCUAACUACGUG